rnacentral:lncRNA from 1 species
GAGCCACAGAAAGGAGAACAGGUGAGGGUCAGGAAGAUAGAAAGGAGAGAGAGCAGCACUGGGAGAAGACAUGAGAAAUUAGAUCAGAAUCUAAAAGCACUCAGGAGAGCAGGGGAAAAGGCAGAAAUUAGAGCAGGAGCUAAGAGGAGAGCCAAAGAGGCAAUAAAAACUCAAGGAGGAGAAAGAAAAACUGCGAGAUGAAGAGAAGAGGAUGAGAAAAAAAAAGAUAGGAGAUAAAUACAAGGUGACAUAAAAGAGCCUCGACCUCCACUCUGUAAAGGUGAUGCGAUUUCAGGUGUGAAAGAAAAGAAAUACUUUGCAUUUUUUGAAACGGCCCUGACGAGAGGACUGAGCUACAUCUCAGAAAUCAAUACCACAUUUUAUGCCUGCUGCACCCUUCAUGAGGAACCAAGACAACACUGAUUCAAGACACCAGAAGAUCUAACUAAGUCAGAAUGUCUCAGUUACAGUCCAGAUUUCUA